rnacentral:lncRNA from 1 species
AACAAAGGGAGACAGCUAACAAACAACUGGCAAAGCAUGUGACCAAAGUAGGGGACUCCCGCAAACCUGGAUCUGGUCACACAUAUUGUAUUGGUGCUAGUACCAUCACAUGAAUUAAAUCGUAAAAUCAUAUGAAUAUCCUAUAUUCCUCAUGAAAUUACCCACCUGACAACUCUUAGAUUACACCCCGUCGUAGCUGCCCCGUGUUUCCUACCAUAGGAGAUUGACAUGGCUUUCUAGAAUACUAAUAAUAUUAACAACAACAUAGCCUUUCAAGUUAAGGUAAGCUAAAAUUGAAACCCCACGAAAACCACAAAUCAGGGUUCGAGUACAUGAAUAGCUAUUUUUCAAGCACUCCUAUCCAGAUAAAUCUUUAGGUAUAUUCCACCCCUUCAAAUCUCCUUUUAUUGCAUCUUCCCAUAUCAAUUUUGGUAUUCCUCUACCUCUCUUCACAUUACUGUCACGCC